GACGAACGCUGGCGGCGUGCCUAAUACAUGCAAGUCGAGCGGACCGAUGGGAGCUUGCUCCCAGACCGUCCGCGGCGGACGGGUGAGUAACACUUUGGCACCCUGCCUGUAAGACUGGGAUAACUCCGCCACACCGGUGCUCUCACCGGAUCACUCUCUCCCUCACUUGAGGGCAAGCUGAAAGAUGGCUUCUUGCUAUCCCUUACAGUUAGGCCCGCGGCGCAUUAGCGAGGUGGGGAGGUAACGGCUCUGCAAGGGGGCGAUGCGGAGCCGACCUGAGAGGGUGAUGGGCCAGACUGGGACUGAGACUUGGCCCAGACUCCUACGGGAGGAAGCAGUCGGGAAUCUUGCGGAAUGGACGAAGGUGUGACAGAGGAACGCCGCGUGAGUGAUGAAGGUGUUCGGACCGUAAAGCUCUGUAGUCAGGGAAGAACUAGUACCGGAGUAACUGCCGGUACCUUGACGGUACCUGAUCAGAAAGCGACGGCUAACUACGUG
rnacentral:rRNA from 1 species